AAUAAAAGACCACAGGGUAAUAUGCUAUUGAACAAUAAGAUAGUAAAAUCGUGCUUAAAAUCGGCAUGAAAUAUAUAUAUAUAGAGGAUAUUAAACGGCGGCGCGAAGAUAUGACUUUUAUCAUCGAGUGGUGAUAUCGCGUUUUUAACGCGAGAGGAUAAAAAUCAUAUCUUCAAGCCACCGUGUAAUGUUCUGUUUAUUAUAUAGCCCCAAGCAAAAAAUUGUGAAAUUUCACGCUCAAAAGCACAUGGAAAAAGUCACAUGAUCGAUAUUUUCACUAGUGAAGAUAUGGAAAAUUUAUAUAUCUCACUGUGUAUUUUUCAGGAUCUCACUCUCUACUAUAUAAUAAAAGCCCAUUCUUACGGAAUUACUAACUACGAAAGAAUAUCACCGUAUAAGUCUGUACAUUUCACUGGCAUCAGUUGUUAUUGUGAUGUAAGAAAAAGCGUCGAGUUGCGUGUGAUAUUAUUCCUUCGUAGUUAGUAAUUCCGUAAGAACGGUUACUAUUUUAAGCCGAGUGUUAUUGCAGAUAGAGAAAACCACGAAAACAAAAAGGUUUUUCUCUUUUUAUAAUAAUCAGUUUCAAAAUGGCUUUUUAUCACUCGUGGUCCAUCCGUGGUCAGUCAUGUGUACUUUUAGUCACGAUUUGCUGAAACAGUCUAUUAUAUUCGCUUACAUAAAGCGAGGAAUCUAAAUAACUUACAAGUUCUAUGUCUCUGUUAUCACCAAUGUGAGAUAUAUUUAAAGUAGUCUAAAAGGUUAUUGGGUUGUUUAAUUUAUUUCAGUGUCUCUAGAUGAACACUAUUCUAUACCAACUUGAUUUCUUGAAUUAUUGAUGAUGCAAAUACAGUAUGGUUGUGCGGCAAUUGUUUCUGGUCCUGCUUUCACUUUUUUGUCGUUGUCGUCGUCGUCGUCGUUAUCGUUGUUGUUGUUGUUGUUGUUGUUGUUGUUGUUGUUGUUGUUGUUGUUGUUGUUGUUGUUGUUGUUGUUGUUGUUGUUGUUGUUGGUGUUGGUGUUGGUGUUGGUGCUGGUGGCGCUAUUGUUGCUAUUGCUAUUGUUAUGUUGUCAAGUAAAAAUUUACCACUACAGGUUUUUAUCAUUUUGAAGAUCUUAAACUCCCGUUUCGUUUUGUUGCAUCUCAUUCAGAUGACUGUAGAAAUGAUCUUCGUCUUCCUUUCCAGUUCUAUUGAGUGCUGUAUACAUAGCUUCUUCAUAGUUUUCGUUGUCUGUUUUCCCCGUUGUAUUAUCAGGCUGCUCGUAAAUACCAUCAGUCAUCGUUGCAUUGCUUGGUCCGUUGUUGCUAGUUGUUCCCUUCCUGUUCAAUGCUGCUUUUAAUGCUCGAGUUUUAUAAACAAAAUAAACAACAAGGAGAAGUAGAAUGGCUAGAAUGAUGCCCAUCACUAUGAUACCAAUAAGGUAACCUUUAUCAUCUUCAGAAUCUGCUUCUGCAUCUUAAAAUUAAAGAGUAAUUUAAUUGACAAUUAGACAAUGGUCUUUGCGGUUAAAGUAAUUUAUUAAUUUAUUCUCUGAUACUGGUGCAAAUUAAUUCUUCCUUAAAAAUAG